UGGGGAAUAUUGGACAAUGGAGGAAACUCUGAUCCAGCAAUUCUGUGUGUGUGAAGAAGGUUUUAGGACUGUAAAACACUUUUAGUAGGGAAGAAAAAAAUGACGGUACCUACAGAAGAAGCAACGGCUAAAUACGUGCCAGCAGCCGCGGUAAUACGUAUGUUGCGAGCGUUAUCCGGAAUUAUUGGGCUUAAAGGGCAUCUAGGCGGUAAGACAAGUUGAAGGUGAAAACCUGUGGCUCAACCAUAGGCUUGCCUACAAAACUGUUGAACUAGAGUACUGGAAAGGUGGGUGGAACUACACGAGUAGAGGUGAAAUUCGUAGAUAUGGGUAGGAAUGCCGAUGAUGAAGAUAACUCACUGGACAGAAACUGACGCUGAAGUGCGAAAGCUAGGGGAGCAAACAGG
rnacentral:rRNA from 1 species